CUUAGCUCAGCCAAAGAAACAUCAAGGCUGCUUUUUGGAAUCACUGAGGGGAGGCAGACAAUUAGUCACCACUGAAAACACCUCUGGUGAGCACGCCACGGUUUCUGUCUUCAGAGCCGCGCAGCACAUCCAGAGAUACCGUGAGCCGAGUGUGUCCCGGCUGCUCUGUUGACGCUCAAGCCACCAAGCAGCAUUGUCUGCUUCAGUUGGGACUGACUGGAGCAGUCCUGCCUCAUCAUCCUGUUCUCUCUGGUACCUCAAACCACAAUCAAAAAGGCUUGCGGUCUCUACGAAUGGGUUUCCUAUCUUGCCAUCUGCACCUUGGUUUUGGAUUUGAUCGUCUUUUUGGUAA